rnacentral:rRNA from 1 species
UACGGGGGGAGCAAGCGUUGUUCGGAUUUACUGGGCGUAAAGGGCGCGUAGGCGGCCUCCGCAAGUCGACUGUGAAAUCUCCGGGCUUAACCCGGAAAGGUCAGCCGAAACUGCGGGGCUAGAGUGCAGAAGGGGCAACUGGAAUUCUCGGUGUAGCGGUGAAAUGCGUAGAUAUCUGGAGGAAUACCGGUGGCGAAGGCGGCAUCCUGGACCGGCAUUGACGCUGAGGAGCGAAAGCUAGGGGAGCAAACGGG